UUUUACCCCUAAACUAUACCCGC
rnacentral:tRNA from 1 species